AGCCACUACUUCACUGGGCUCAGGUGGCGUGAGGAUGGCCUGAGGCCUGAGCCUAAGCAACCCCAUUUUAGAACUCAAGUUUGAAACCUGCAGUCUCACCAGGACACCUAGGAGCCCUCCAUAUGGCCCUCAGACACCAGCAAGUCACUUCCCCACCCUGGUAAACUCAGAGUGAAGUCUCAGGCAGGCUGUUCUCACCCAAUAAGAGGAAAAGGUGAAGGAUCAGGGUGGAGACCAACAGACCAAAUGUUUUAACCCCAGGGUAAAUGAUGUCACUGAGAAAUCUGGUGGCAGCUGAUAGGGAUUGAAAGGGGGGUCAAAAGCCCCCAAAUUUAGUAUAAAUAAUAGAGCAAAAGAACAGACUUUCAGCCGGCUGACACUGAUGCCCUCAGCUGAGAGCCUGAUGAGGACCUGGACCGACACCCCAACACUUUUCAUCUUUGCUGAUCCUCUGCAUCUUCCUCUCCGUUCUCGAACUCUACAGCCACAUCUUGACCCUGGAGAGAGCUGCAACUUCUCCCUCCGACACUCUCCUCAGCCAGCCGUCAGCUACACCCCAG
rnacentral:lncRNA from 1 species